rnacentral:hammerhead_ribozyme from 1 species
UUACAGCUGAAGAGUCCCAAAUAGGACGAAACGCCCGUCAAACUGUAU